rnacentral:rRNA from 1 species
UACGGGGGGGGCAAGCGUUGUUCGGAAUUACUGGGCGUAAAGGGCUCGUAGGUGGCCAACUAAGUCAGACGUGAAAUCCCCCGGCUUAACCGGGGAACUGCGUCUGAUACUGGAUGGCUUGAGUUCGGGAGAGGGAUGCGGAAUUCCAGGUGUAGCGGUGAAAUGCGUAGAUAUCUGGAGGAACACCGGUGGCGAAGGCGGCAUCCUGGACCGACACUGACACUGAGGAGCGAAAGCCAGGGGAGCAAAGCGGG